UACGUAGGAGGCGAGCGUUGUCCGGAAUCACUGGGUGUAAAGCGCGUGUAGGCGGCCUGUCAAGUCUGCUGUGAAAGCGCCUGGCUUAACCGGGCGAGGUCGGUGGAAACUGGCGGGCUGGAGGACGGUAGAGGGGGGUGGAAUUCCCGGUGUAGUGGUGAAAUGCGUAGAGAUCGGGAGGAACACCAGUGGCGAAGGCGGCCCCCUGGGCCGCUCCUGACGCUGAGGAGCGAAAGCAUGGGGAGCGAACAGG
rnacentral:rRNA from 1 species